GAUGAACGCUGGCGGCGUGCUUAACACAUGCAAGUCGAACGGUGGACACGGAGCUUGCUCUGUGGGAUCAGUGGCGAACGGGUGAGUAACACGUGAGCAACCUGCCCCUGACUCUGGGAUAAGCGCUGGAAACGGCGUCUAAUACUGGAUAUGUGACGUGACCGCAUGGUCUGCGUUUGGAAAGAUUUUUCGGUUGGGGAUGGGCUCGCGGCCUAUCAGCUUGUUGGUGAGGUAAUGGCUCACCAAGGCGUCGACGGGUAGCCGGCCUGAGAGGGUGACCGGCCACACUGGGACUGAGACACGGCCCAGACUCCUACGGGAGGCAGCAGUGGGGAAUAUUGCACAAUGGGCGCAAGCCUGAUGCAGCAACGCCGCGUGAGGGAUGACGGCCUUCGGGUUGUAAACCUCUUUUAGCAGGGAAGAAGCGAAAGUGACGGUACCUGCAGAAAAAGCGCCGGCUAACUACGUG
rnacentral:rRNA from 1 species